rnacentral:rRNA from 1 species
AACCGGAUUAGAUACCCUCGUAGUCCACGCCCUAAACGAUGUCAACUAGAUGUUGGGAGGGUUAAACCUCUUAGUGUCGUAGCUAACGCGUGAAGUUGACCGCCUGGGGAGUACGGCCGCAAGGCUAAAACUCAAAGGAAUUGACGGGGACCCGCACAAGCGGUGGAUGAUGUGGAUUAAUUCGAUGCAACGCGAAAAACCUUACCUACCCUUGACAUGUCAGGAAUCCCGGAGAGAUUUGGGAGUGCUCGAAAGAGAACCUGAACACAGGUGCUGCAUGGCUGUCGUCAGCUCGUGUCGUGAGAUGUUGGGUUAAGUCCCGCAACGAGCGCAACCCUUGUCAUUAAUUGCCAUCAUUUAGUUGUGUUCUUUAAUGAGACUGCCGGUGACAAACCGCAGGAAGUUGUGUAUGACGUCAAGUCCUCAUGGCCCUUAUGGGUAGGGCUUCACACGUCAUACAAUGGUCGGUCCAGAGGGUUGCCAACCCGCGAG